ACGAAUCAAGCUGCUGUUACAGUUCCCAUGAAGCUGUCCAUCAGUGGUGGAUGCAGAGAGCAAAGCCAUUAGAAUUGGCUGAACAGGUGGUGGAGAAUAGCUGAACACCUGCAGGUAAAAAAAGCUGCAUCAGAGCUGCUUCAAGGCAAACAGUAUUCCCUUUUCCAGCAGCCUAACUGAAGAAUCUUCGUUUUACAGACAGUAGAGCACACAAAGUAAUGUUUUCAAUUCUUAAUCAAAUACAGUUUUUGUUCAAGAAUCUGCUUUUGUGGGGGAGUUUCAGCCAGAACCUUAGAAACACUGGAAUACUGCAAGCCAUUUGUGAUACCACCCUGUUUCAUUUGCUUACAAACUUUAGAUGAAUGUAGAAACAAAAUAAUGCUUUAGGAGCCAUGAAUGUAGAAAGAAAAUAACACUUUAGGAGGAGCUAUGGUGGCUGUGAUGGAUAAAAAGCCCUUGUAAUAGUUACCUGGUAAAGAAAUUACAGGGAUGGUCUUCAUAUCGGAUCUCACUCACAUUAAGCUCUGUUCAUAUCCUGUCAGAGAUGAAAAAAACAGGAAUUAAAUUUAAGUGCCAAUAAUUAGAUGAGAGGAGUCUUGUAGCUAGGCACCUGCAGGAUAAGUAUUUAGACAUGCUUGAUUAGUGGGGAAAAAAAUUAAAAGUCCAUUAGCAAAAGAAUAUCUGUCACUGCAUUUUCUCUUAAUAACUGAAAGCUUAAUGCAAUUAAACACAUUUAAUAUGUUGCUUUCCAGGUACUGUUUAAAUUUCAUGUCCUCUGCUAAUUAUUUUCACAUGUUAUAUUGCUUUACCAAGGUGAGGGAAUGGUUCAAAAUCAGUGUAUCCCUUUUGAGUCCAAGCUAGGGUUACAAAAGUAAUUCACAUUUAUAUUGUAUGUUUUUAGUGGAAUGAAGUCAUGCAAUGGAUUCAGUUUGGCUUGGUGAAAAAAACAUCCCAUAUGUGCAUUGCUAUAGUCCUUUAUUAUUCACAUUUGAUCUAUCUGGCAUUUGAUACAAGAUACAGGCAUGGACAAUUUGCCUCAAGCUGCUACAAUGUUUACAGAAGAGAGAUCAUCCAAGAUAGAGCUAAGGAAAUGUUAUCUUGAAUUUCCAGACUUCUGGAAAUCUGUUCUGAGAAGGUGAGUGCAGAUUUGGAUGACUGGAAUGGUAUCUUUUGCUCCUCUCUUUGGAGGGCACAUUCUUUUUCUUAUUAUUAAUGUGACUAAUCAGUGAGACUUUCUCUAUAUUCUUACUGGUUAAACCUGCUGGUCAUGGGUGUGGCUCUAAUUUAAGUUCUUUUGCCAGCAUCCAAGAAGACUCUGUAUGUGUGGAUUCCUUUCUCUAUUAAAUAGUGUUACUUUAAAAACAAACAUUAAACUUUUAUGAAAUUAUACUGAUUCCUGAGUGUUGUUUGUUUAAAAAUUAUUCUCUAAAGAGGAUUUUAAAAGUACA
rnacentral:lncRNA from 1 species